rnacentral:rRNA from 1 species
AUUGAACGCUGGCGGCAGGCCUAACACAUGCAAGUCGAACGAGUGGCGGACGGGUGAGUAAUGUCUGGGAAACUGCCCGAUGGAGGGGGAUAACUACUGGAAACGGUAGCUAAUACCGCAUACCAUCGGAUGUGCCCAGAUGGGAUUAGCUAGUCGGUGGGGUAAAGGCUCACCUAGGCGACGAUCCCUAGCUGGUAUGAGAGGGUGACCCGCCAAACUGGAACUGAGACACGGUCCAGACUCCGACGGGAGGCCGCAGUGGGGAAUAUUGCACAAGGGGCGCAAGCCUGAUGCAGCCAUGCCGCGUGAGUGAAGAAGGCCUUCGGGUUGUAAAGCACUUUCAGCGAGGAGGCGUUACUCGCAGAAGAAGCACCGGCUAACGCCGUGCCAGCAGCCGCGGUAAUAC